rnacentral:rRNA from 1 species
AGCGAACGCUGGCGGCAGGCCUAAUACAUGCAAGUCGAACGGCUCUUCGGAGCAGUGGCGGACGGGUGAGUAACACGUGGGAACGUGCCCUUUGGUACGGAACAACUGAGGGAAACUUCAGCUAAUACCGUAUGUGCCCCCAUUCUUAGCGGGAUGGGUGGGAAAGAUUUAUCGCCAUUGGAGCGGCCCGCGUUGGAUUAGCUAGUUGGUGGGGUAAAGGCCCACCAAGGCUACGAUCCAUAGCUGGUCUGAGAGGAUGAUCAGCCACACUGGGACUGAGACACGGCCCAGACUCCUACGGGAGGCAGCAGUAGGGAAUCUUGCGCAAUGGGCGAAAGCCUGACGCAGCCAUGCCGCGUGAAUGAUGAAGGUCUUAGGAUUGUAGAAUUCUCUCACCGGGGAAGAUAAUGACGGUACCCGGAGAAGAAGCCCCGGCUAACUUCGUGCCAGCCGCCGCCGUAC